rnacentral:rRNA from 1 species
CCUACGGGAGGCUGCAGUAGGGAAUUUUCGGCAAUGGGGGGAACCCUGACCGAGCAACGCCGCGUGAAGGAAGAAGGUCUUCGUUCUGUAAACCUCUGUUAUUAAGGAAGAAAGACGGAUGGAGUAACUGACCUCCUAUUGACGGUACUUUAUGAGAAAGCCACGGCUAACUACGUGCCAGCAGCCGCGGUAAUACGUAGGUGGCAAGCGUUAUCCGGAUUUAUUGGGCGAAAAGAGAGCGCAGGCGGCCGUAAAGGUCUGUGGUGAAAGCCUGGAGCUUAACGUCAGUAUGCCAUAGAAACCGGGAGGCUAGAGUGCAGGAGAGGAGAGUGGAAUU